AACGCGAAGAACCUUACCUGGAUUUGACAUCCCCUGACAAUCACAGAGAUGUGACUUCUGUAGUAAUACAGCAGGGAGACAGGUGCUGCAUGGCUGUCGUCAGCUCGUGUGGUGACAUGUUGGGUUAAGUCCCGCAACGAGCGCAACCCUUGUCUUUAGUUGCCAUCAUUAAGUUGGGCUCUCUAAAGAGACUGCCGUGGUUAACACGGAGGAAGGUGGGGAUGACGUCAAGUCCUCAUGGCCUUUAUAUCCAGGGCGACACACGUGAUACAAUGGACGGUACAAAGGGACGCCAAGAGGUAACUCGGAGCUAAUCUCAAAAAGCCGUUCUCAGUUCGGAUUGGAGUCUGCAACUCGACUCCAUGAAGUUGGAAUCGCUAGUAAUCGCGGAUCAGCACGCCGCGGUGAAUACGUUCCCGGGCCUUGUACACACCGCUGUA
rnacentral:rRNA from 1 species